GUAAUUCCAGCUCCAAUAGCGUAUAUUAAACUUGUUGCAGUUAAAAAGCUCGUAGUUGUAUUUUUGCGUUGACGGUUUGACCAUUUGGUUGGUUAUUUCGUUUUCGCUUUUGGGAAUUUCCCUUUUUACUUUGAGAAAAUUAGAGUGUUUCAAGCAGACUUUUGUCUUGAAUACUUCAGCAUGGAAUAAUAGAGUAGGACUUUGGUUCUAUUUUGUUGGUUAU
rnacentral:rRNA from 1 species